GGCCCCGUAGCUCAGCUGGAUAGAGCAGCGGACUUCUAAUCCGCAGGCCGCAGGUUCGAAUCCUGCCGGGGUCGCCA
rnacentral:tRNA from 1 species